AUUUCUCUAGACUGCACUUUCUUAGAGUCUCAACACAUAAUUGAUUAUAGCUUUUUGCUAGGAUUACAUUUCAGAGCUCCAGAGAAUCUAAGGGCCUUAGCGGAAUAUCCUGGAUCUUUAUAGCAACAGGAUAGCUUAUCUUCUGGAGAAGAUUCAGUCAAGGAAGGGGAUGAGUUGAUUCUUCCUAAAGGGUUGCUGUUGGUUGCCCAUGAACCGGGCUCUAUGAACACUGCACCUAGACCCCACAUUAGAGGAAAUACGUUGAGGGCAUACUCCAUUGGGGACAAAGAAGUUGAUCUUUUACUUCCUGGUACUGCAAGGUAUCUUCUUUGAAUUAGUUGUUCUUGUGCUCUACACUCUUUUGUUACUGUAGAUGAUUUUUUGUUCAUACGUUGAAUUUUUCAGAGUUUUAAGUAGUUCUGGAUUCUGACAACACAAUGCACUAGGUUGAAUAUUGAGCGUGUGUUGAUAUUGUACAGAGAAGUGAAUUGGAGUGGCGAGUUGGCAAUAUCCAGUGACUUGUUAGGAUUUGGUGAGUAGAUUAUACGGAUAGUCAUGGUAAGGAUUUAGGAUUAGUUGAAAGUUGGCAAUAUCCAGUGACUUGUUAGGAUUUUUACCAUUUUACUUUAUUUGCCCUGUGUGCUUGAACUGAUUUCAGAGUUCCAUCCCCAUCAUGGUUCCUUUCCUUCCUUCAUUGUCCCCUUCCCCCCUCACACAAACACAUACACACACACACAUACACACACGACACAAAUGAAAAAGGAAAAAGCUGUAACACUUAAUAGCCUUUACACCAAAUUAUUAUUGUGA